AGCUCCAAUAGCGUAUAUUAAAGUUGUUGCAGUUAAAAAGCUCGUAGUUGGACCUGUGGUUGGGGCGGCCGGUUCGGCACUCUGUGCGGAUACUGGGCCUCCCCGGCCAUCCUUGGGUGGAAGCUGUGUGGCAUUAGGUUGUCGUGCAGGGGAUGCCCAUCUUUUACUGUGAAAAAAUUAGAGUGUUCAAAGCAGGCUUAUGCCGCUGAAUAUAUUAGCAUGGAAUAAUGAGAUAGGACCUUGGUACUAUUUUGUUGGUUUGCGCACCGGGGUAAUGAUUAACAGGGACAGUUGGGGAUAUUCGUAUUCCAUUGUCAGAGGUGAAAUUCUUGGAUUUCUGGAAGACGAACUACUGCGAAAGCAUUUAUCAAGGAUGUUUUCAUUAAUCAAGAACGAAAGU
rnacentral:rRNA from 1 species